AGCUUAGCCGCUUGCUACUAGUCGGGGUGGUUGAGGUGCCACAAGGAGAUAGGAUUGUAGUACUUUAGUCCCAUAAAUAUAAGAAGAAUGCUAUUUGCCACCCCAUUUGGAGGUAAAGCUUCCAUUUCUGAAGAGGGGAAAAGGGCAAUGAACAUUGAAGAUAGAAAGCUGAAACUCGACAACUGCCUCAGCCCCCUGUGACGCACAGAACGUUUCUGGUUGAGAGAGGGAGGAGUUCCCUCUUGUAUUGCCAGGCUGACCAGUGAGGUCUCUUAGUAUUGAGGAGUUGCUUUUCCCAUUAAACGGAAUUUCAGAGAGCGAACCUGGUGAGUAACCAAUGG
rnacentral:lncRNA from 1 species